CGCCCGGUAGCUCAGUGGUUAGAGCGCUGGCUUUACAAGCCAGAGGACCAGGGUUCGAUUUCCCGGCCGGGUGG